rnacentral:rRNA from 1 species
CCUACGGGUGGCAGCAGUGGGGAAUAUUGCACAAUGGAGGGAACUCUGAUGCAGCGACGCCGCGUGAGUGAAGAAGUAAUUCGUUAUGUAAAGCUCUAUCAGCAGGGAAGAAAGUGACGGUACCUGAAAAAGAAGCUCCGGCUAAAUACGUGCCAGCAGCCGCGGUAAUACGUAUGGAGCAAGCGUUAUCCGGAUUUACUGGGUGUAAAGGGAGCGUAGACGGCAGCACAAGUCUGGAGUGAAAUCCCGGGGCUUAACCCCGGAACUGCUUUGGAAACUGUGCGGCUGGAGUGCAGGAGGGGUAAGCGGAAUUCCUAGUGUAGCGGUGAAAUGCGUAGAUAUUAGGAGGAACACCGGUGGCGAAGGCGGCUUACUGGACUGUAACUGACGUUGAGGCUCGAAAGCGUGGGGAGCAAACAGGAUUAGAUACCCCAGUAGUC